GCCUCAAAUAAUGUGUGACUACCCC
rnacentral:rRNA from 10 species